CUAAUAUGGCAGAUUAGUGCAAUGG
rnacentral:tRNA from 1 species